GUACUCACUUCGGCGGUACAUAUACUAAAAUUGGAACGACACAGAGAAGAUUAGUAUGGCCCCUGCGCAGGAUGACACGCAAAAUCGUGAAGCGUUCCACAUUUUU
rnacentral:snRNA from 1 species